GCGUAGGGUAAGUAGGUGGGUAAAUCAACAUAUUGUAAAAGACAAAGGAGAAACCUUUUUGAUCAAUAUUUAUUGAUUUCCUGAGUUUUGAAGGCGAUCUAUUGAAUUCCUUAAGUAAGGGUAAAAUUGUUGAUAUUGGAAGACAUUCGAAAGCGGAAGCAUUUAUCGAUUCAAAUCUGACGCUAGGUACUAAAGUAUGGGUAUAAAAAGGAUUAGAGACCUUGUAGUCCAUACCUUAAACUAUGAGUGUUCAACAUCCUUUUGUACUGUAGAAAAUCAUCGUUUUAAUUAGUGUUAGGGGAUGACUAUUUUUACGUGGAACUUAAGGGGGUUUAAAGCUAACGCGUGAAACACCGCCUGGGAAAUGUGGCCGCAAGGUUAAACUCAAAGGAAUUG
rnacentral:rRNA from 1 species